rnacentral:rRNA from 1 species
AUUGAACGCUGGCGGCAGGCUUAACACAUGCAAGUCGAGCGAGCGGCGGACGGGUGAGUAAUGUCUGGGAAACGGCCUGAGGGAGGGGGAUAACUACUGGAAACGGUAGCUAAUACCGCAUACCAGCAGAUGUGAACAGAUGGGAUUAGCUAGCAGGUGGGGGAAUGGCUCAACUAGGCGACGAUCCCUAGGUGGUCUGAGAGGAUGACCAGCCACACUGCAACUGAGACACGGUCCAGACGCCGACGGGAGGCAGCAGUGGGGAAUAUUGCACAAUGGGCGCAAGCCUGAUGCAGCCAUGCCGCGUGUGUGAAGAAGGCCUUCGGGUUGUAAAGCACUUUCAGCGAGGAGGCGUUACUCGCAGAAGAAGCACCGGCUAACUCCGUGCCAGCAGCCGCGGUAAUAC